GCUGGGUGUAGUGGUGGACGCCUGUAAUCCCAGCUACUCAGGAGGCUGAGGCAGGAGAAUCGCUUGAACCUGGGAGACGGAGGUUGCAGUGAGCCAAGAUCAUGCCACUGCACUCCAGCCUGGGCAACAGAGUGAGAUUCUGUCUCAA
rnacentral:sRNA from 1 species